AGCUCAGUGGCAGAUAUGAGCCAAUGACCCACAGUCGGAUUUCCCAGCUCGAGGGAGCAUUUCUUUGGAAAUGGCUUUGGCGUUCUUGCUCUCGGGCGCCUCCUUCUGGACAAUAUAAUUACUGUCUAUCGCAAGUCAUGUGACUUCUCCGAACUCGACUGCAGCCUGAACCUUGCAAAAUGCUGUCCAACCCGACUCUGUUACGUUUCGCAUUCCCGACCCACCAGUGAGAGAAGAUAGAUGAUGGUUGUUUAAUAAUGUCAUAAAAUGGCUCCUAAACUUACAGAGUCAUGCUGAAAAAAAACAUAUUUGGCGUCUGUAAACUGGUUCGACAGGUUGCCGUCCUGUCUUCUUUAUUUAAAAAGCAAAUGUUUUUGUUGAGGCUGUUACCAGCUUGCUCUCUGGCACGCCUUGGGUUGAUUGCCCAGCGAGACAAGGCAGGAAGAAAAAAAAAACCUUCGCCAUCCUGUUUGAGCUGCAAACAGGCUCUGACCUGGUUCACAGGGCCAGAUAUGACCGCCUAGUGAAUAUUUAUUAUUAUUAUUAUUAUUAUUAUUAUUUUGUACAGUAUAUCCAAGGUUAAUUUUUAUAAUCUCUCAGUAUCUAUUAUAUAAAACCCCACUUAAUAAAUCUGCUAUUUUGUUUUGAUUUUCAGAUGUGUAACGUGUGUAGAUUAUUUGAAAAAGUACGAGCACUAGAUGGUGGCAAACAUUUUUGACAUCACGCAAGAGUGUGAGCAGAUAGUGAAUGACUGUUCAAUUAAAGAGGCUUCAAGUUUUUCAUUGCCACUCCCAGUUGAAGUUUACUUUCCAACUAAACAUAAAACAAAGACAAUUACACUUUGUGUGUUGAACCAAACCGCUUGUUUUGAAAGUUUGCUAGCUUAAUGCUAUCACACAUCGUAAAACACUAUGAGUGAGCUAACGAGACUAGCGUCAACGCAGUCGUGCGUCGUCGUAUUUUUGGAGCAGUGCAAUAAUGUCCUUCAAUUAUAAUGACCUCAAAUUUUUAUCUGCAGCAGUAGCCAUUUCAUAAUCACUUUUAUGAACAUGACAACGCAACAUGGGAACCUGACCUACUUUAUGUGUGUGUGUUUGUACUGUAUUUACGACAGAUUUGGGGGCGGAAGUUCGCUCUCUACAUGAGUGCCAUUCAACUCGUAAAUAUUGCUGUGUGGGAGUGUGCGCGCGUGUUGUCGGCUGCUUGAACAAUUUACUUCCUGCGAUAAACCGCAGUGCGACCCCCAUACUCAGAAGAUCGUAUAGAGUCCAGCAAUACAAAGCUGUGUUUUUUUGUCACUGUAAUUGGAUGGAGCAUUCGUGAAUCCCUUGAUAUUCGAGUAUUCCCAAAGUUAGUAAGCCAGAAGCUGCUGGGACCUUCUCUUCAUGUUUACUCUCCAAAAUUUUUGAAGAGGGUCAUCGAUAUUUUCCCAUGAGAACUGGCCGGGGGGAAGCUUGCCGUCACAACGCCUCGCACGAGCUCUUGUGUCGCCGUGCCCUCUCCACAGCAGCUUUGCACAUUUCCUGUAAUGCAGCUGACCCCUCUCGCCGCUCACACCCACGCAGCCUUACGAAACACCCACGUAAAUCUUGGCAGUAGCCGCGAGCGCUUCGCUGUUAAAGUUGCUGUUUCUGGAGCGUCACCUUGAGACACCUGAUCGCCUGCGGGUACUCUUCCCUGGCCUCCGUGAAGUUUCUGGGCGUGACCGCCCUCGAAACAGGAUGGCCGUUGACGAGGUGACUCAUUAAACUGCGCCAGAGUAUGCCAGGAUUCUCACCAGGACUUUUUUUUUCCACUACACCCCAUUCAAGUUCUGGCUUUCUGCAACCCUUAUUUUGGCGCGGCACGAUAGUCGUCAAACUGCUCCUGUGCCGCACACGUUGCUCGUAAAGAUAAAUUAAGAAAAUUAUUUUGCCGGGCGAGGCGAGAAUCUUGCGGGCAGGCUUUGGUGUGCGUCACAGUGACCCAUCAGAGCUUGCGGUCAAGUUAAUGUGCAACCACUCACAAAUGCUUUGCAUCAAUAAAGCUUCAGCUCGUCACGUAGCAUCAAACGACCGCCAUUUUAGUCCUUUUUUUUUUUCUUUUUUUUUUUUGCAUGAUGUAACACAUUUGUCUGUGGCUUUUAUUUCCUACAAAGAAGACAAAACUGUUGUCACUUAUAAAGUAAAGCGGAGCCUUGAGAUA